rnacentral:rRNA from 1 species
AGUGGCGGACGGGUGAGUAACGCGUAGGAAUCUACCUGAUAGUGGGGGAUAGCCCGAAGAAAUUCGGAUUAAUACCGCAUAAUCUAUUCGUAGUAAAGUGGGGGACUUUCGAGCCUCACGCUAUCAGAUGAGCCUGCGUAAGAUUAGCUAGUUGGUAGGGUAAAAGCCUACCAAGGCUACGAUCUUUAGCUGGUCUGAGAGGAUGAUCAGCCACAUCGGGACUGAGACUCGGCCCGAACUCCUACGGGAGGCAGCAGUGGGGAAUAUUGGACAAUGGGGGCAACCCUGAUCCAGCAAUACCGCGUGUGUGAAGAAGGCCUGAGGGUUGUAAAGCACUUUCAAUUGUGAAGAAAAGCUAGUGGUUAAUAGCCAUUAGCCUUGACGUUAACUUUAGAAGAAGCACCGGCUAACUCCGUGCCAGCAGCCGCGGUAAUACGGAGGGUGCAAGCGUUAAUCGGAAUUACUGGGCGUAAAGCGUGCGUAGGCGGUUUAUUAAGUCAGAUGUGAAAGCCCCGGGCUUAACCUGGGAACUGCAUUUGAAACUGGUCAACUAGAGUAUGGUAGAGGAAAGUGGAAUUUCUGGUGUAGCGGUGAAAUGCGUAGAUAUCAGAAAGAACAUCAAUGGCGAA